ensembl:lincRNA 1700104B16Rik RIKEN cDNA 1700104B16 gene
AUGACGACCGGAGCGCGCUCAAAGGCUGCCGGUAGCCACGUUUACUCUACCAGCUCUGCUCUAGGGAAGAACGGAAAGCCCCUUUUCUUGGCACAAAGUCGGAGCUUAGGACCAGCUCCUUCAGCCGGCUCUGGAGUCUAACCCAACCGGCAACAUUACCAAUAUUUUUUCUGUCAUAUUUUUUAGAGGGUCCAAAGGAGAGUCCAAUUCUUCAAACUUCAAAUGACAGUCCGAAGAUCCACUAGUUAACUUAAUCUGGACUAUACGAGGAGUUCUAACAACUGACAAAAGACGGCGGCAUUCCUCCGGAACUUGUGAAGCUCUAGUUCCUGUCUAGGAAAAUGACUCAUUUCCUUUACCUCCAGCAAAAGUGACUUAUGGCUCUCAAUUAACAUAUCAGCACAAGGUGCAAGCCUGGCAGCCUCCAGACUCCCUCAGUCCCUACAAGCACUUAUACAUUUCAAAGCCUGCUCACCAGUCCCCUGGCCCUUCCCACCCACCGAUAACGCAUUCUUCUUGUUCACUCUUCUCCGCUCCUGCUGCUGCUUUUCUCAAUAAGCUUCCCCUAUUUUCUAUCAGUGGCCAUUUUCCUGUUUCUUGUAGACAGUCCUGGCAAAGCCCAGUCUGCUGCGCAUGGUCAAUCUACUACUUUCUCUCUCUGCCCUGGACUCUCCAGAUCCCUGUGGCUGUUCUCGCUCUCAUGUCUCCAAUAAAAACCUUAACCAUAA